rnacentral:lncRNA from 1 species
AUUUGAAUGCUUGAGUAUGAACUUAAUUAUUUAUGGACAUAGUAAUUAGGUUACAUAAUCAAAGGUCUUUUCACUAAGGAAUUAGGAAUAGAUAACCUUGAGGACCGGAAUUAAUUGGACAGGAAUAUUGUCUAAACCUUCAUAAAUUAUAUCUGUUACAAGAAGUUUCAUUCACCGAACCCUAGCAAUCUUCUCUCAUUUGUAUCUCG